UAGGGAAUCUUCGGCAAUGGACGGAAGUCUGACCGAGCAACGCCGCGUGAGUGAAGAAGGUUUUCGGAUCGUAAAGCUCUGUUGUAAGAGAAGAACGAGUGUGAGAGUGGAAAGUUCACACUGUGACGGUAUCUUACCAGAAAGGGACGGCUAACUACGUGCCAGCAGCCGCGGUAAUACGUAGGUCCCGAGCGUUGUCCGGAUUUAUUGGGCGUAAAGCGAGCGCAGGCGGUUAGAUAAGUCUGAAGUUAAAGGCUGUGGCUUAACCAUAGUAGGCUUUGGAAACUGUUUAACUUGAGUGCAAGAGGGGAGAGUGGAAUUCCAUGUGUAGCGGUGAAAUGCGUAGAUAUAUGGAGGAACACCGGUGGCGAAAGCGGCUCUCUGGCUUGUAACUGACGCUGAGGCUCGAAAGCGUGGGGAGCAAACAGGAUUAGAUACCCUGGUAGUCCACGCUGUAAACGAUGAGUGCUAGGUGUUAGACCCUUUCCGGGGGUUUAGUGCCGUAGCUAACGCAUUAAGCACUCCGCCUGGGGGAGUACGACCGCAAGGUUG
rnacentral:rRNA from 1 species